UACGAAGGGGGCUAGCGUUGUUCGGAAUUACUGGGCGUAAAGCGUGCGCAGGCGGCUUUGCAAGACAGAUGUGAAAUCCCCGGGCUCAACCUGGGAACUGCAUUUGUGACUGCAUGGCUAGAGUACGGUAGAGGGGGAUGGAAUUCCGCGUGUAGCAGUGAAAUGCGUAGAUAUGCGGAGGAACACCGAUGGCGAAGGCAAUCCCCUGGACCUGUACUGACGCUCAUGCACGAAAGCGUGGGGAGCAAACAGG
rnacentral:rRNA from 1 species